rnacentral:rRNA from 1 species
CAUCCUGUUCUGGAUUCUUCUCUGCAGAUGCAGAUCUUUGUGAAGACAUUGACUGGCAAGACCAUCACCCUUGAGGUGGAGUCGUCUGACACCAUUGACAACGUCAAGGCCAAGAUCCAGGACAAGGAGGGCAUCCCUCCGGACCAGCAGCGCCUCAUCUUUGCUGGCAAGCAGCUCGAGGAUGGCAGGACCCUUGCUGACUACAACAUCCAGAAGGAGUCCACCCUUCACCUUGUCCUCCGCCUUAGAGGAGGCAUGCAGAUCUUCGUGAAGACCCUCACUGGCAAGACCAUAACACUUGAGGUGGAAUCCUCCGACACCAUCGACAACGUCAAGGCCAAGAUCCAGGACAAGGAGGGCAUUCCCCCGGACCAGCAGCGCCUCAUCUUUGCUGGCAAGCAGCUGGAGGAUGGCCGCACCCUUGCUGACUACAACAUCCAGAAGGAGUCCACCCUUCACCUUGUCCUGCGUCUCCGUGGUGGUAUGCAGAUCUUUGUGAAGACCCUUACCGGCAAGACCAUCACUCUGGAGGUUGAGAGCUCUGACACCAUUGACAACGUCAAGGCCAAGAUCCAGGACAAGGAAGGCAUCCCCCCUGACCAGCAGCGCCUGAUCUUUGCUGGCAAGCAGCUGGAGGAUGGCCGCACCCUUGCCGACUACAACAUCCAGAAGGAGUCCACCCUCCACCUGGUGCUCCGCCUCCGUGGUGGUCAGUAA